GAUGAACGCUGGCGGCAUGCUUAACACAUGCCAGUCGAACGGGAAGUGGUGUUUCCAGUGGCGAACGGGUGAGUAACGCGUAAGAACCUGCCCUUGGGAGGGGAACAACAACUGGAAACGGUUGCUAAUACCCCGUAGGCUGAGGAGCAAAAGGAGAAAUCCGCCCAAGGAGGGGCUCGCGUCUGAUUAGCUAGUUGGUGAGGUAAUAGCUUACCAAGGCGAUGAUCAGUAGCUGGUCCGAGAGGAUGAUCAGCCACACUGGGACUGAGACACGGCCCAGACUCCUACGGGAGGCAGCAGUGGGGAAUUUUCCGCAAUGGGCGAAAGCCUGACGGAGCAAUGCCGCGUGGAGGUGGAAGGCCUACGGGUCGUCAACUUCUUUUCUCGGAGAAGAAACAAUGACGGUAGCUGAGGAAUAAGCAGCGGCUAACUCUGUG
rnacentral:rRNA from 1 species